AGCAAAUUUUAAAGAUGAGGCAGCCGAAGCAAGGAGGUGUAAAUGACUGGCUUAGGGUCACCGAACUGCUAUAUGAGGAGAAAGUGUUUUCCUUAGAGGACUCAAAUUCACAACAGUGCCUUAUGGAGACACAAUCAAAAUGAAGAAGAAAAGUGACACAAUUUGAGGGAUAAUUCAAAGUCCAGGGAUUACCGAGGUGAUCUACUUCUUAGAAAUGAUUAAGAAGACCUAAGUUUCAUUUCCUGGAAAGGUGAAUUUUUCCCAUUAAAGAUGUAAUUAUUCAAUCAAGAUAUUUUGACUUUUCCAUGUAGACUAAUUGUAGAAUAAACACAUUGUACUUACA